GACGAACGCUGGCGGCGUGCUUAACACAUGCAAGUCGAACGAGAAAGCCCUUCGGGGUAAGUACAGUGGCGAACGGGUGAGUAACACGUGGGCAACCUGCCCCAGAGAGCGGGACAACCCGGGGAAACCCGGGCUAAUACCGCAUGAUGCGUCUCCACUUAAGUGGAGCCGCCAAAUGGUAGCUUCGGCCUCCGCUCUGGGAUGGGCCCGCGCCGGAUUAGCUAGUUGGUUGGGGUAACGGCCCACCAAGGCGACGAUCCGUAGCUGGUCUGAGAGGACGAUCAGCCACACUGGAACUGAGACACGGUCCAGACUCCUACGGGAGGCAGCAGUGGGGAAUAUUGGACAAUGGGCGCAAGCCUGAUCCAGCCAUACCGCGUGGGUGAAGAAGGCCUUCGGGUUGUAAAGCCCUUUUGUUGGGAAAGAAAUCCAGCCGGCUAAUACCUGGUUGGGAUGACGGUACCCAAAGAAUAAGCACCGGCUAACUUCGUGCCAGCCGCCGCCGUAA
rnacentral:rRNA from 1 species